GAUGAACGCUGGCGGCGUGCCUAAUACAUGCAAGUCGAGCGAACAGACGAGGAUCUUGCUCCUCUGACGUUAGCGGCGGACGGGUGAGUAACACGUGGAUAACCUACCUAUAAGACUGGGAUAACUUCGGGAAACCGGAGCUAAUACCGGAUAAUAUAUUGAACCGCAUGGUUCAAUAGUGAAAUACGGUUUUUCUGUCACUUAUAGAUGGAUCCGCGCCGCAUUAGCUAGUUGGUAAGGUAACGGCUUACCAAGGCGACGAUGCGUAGCCGACCUGAGAGGGUGAUCGGCCACACUGGAACUGAGACACGGUCCAGACUCCGACGGGAGGCAGCUGUAGGGAAUCUUCCGCAAUGGGCGAAAGCCUGACGGAGCAACGCCGCGUGAGUGAUGAAGGUCUUCGGAUCGUAAAACUCUGUUAUUAGGGAAGAACAAAUGUGUAAGUAACUAUGCACGUCUUGACGGUACCUAAUCAGAAAGCCACGGCUAACUACGUG
rnacentral:rRNA from 1 species